UGUCGCAGGUCUGUCUGGAUCUCAUCCACUGAAUCCACUCUCUCACUUUCCUCCGUCUGUUCAUCUGGAAUGAUGAUGGAGUCUUGAGCAAUUUGGGCUUUCAGGUAUUUCUUGCACCUUUCUGAGGGAAGAGGGGCUCCAGAACUGUCAUCACCUUCUGCCUCACUGAGGGCCACAACAGUGAUAGCACGCAGUCCCACUGGCAUAUCAUCUUGAUGCAGUGCGCAACAUCAACCCUGAUAAAACAUGGGGGGAGUUUGGCAGACUGGGUUCCAAGAAGGACAUGAAAGCAUUCAUUAAGGUAGGACUUCAGAUCAGGAUGAGGAGUGAAAGCCUUGACCAGAGCUCCCAGAAUUGCCAGAGAAAAGUCACUCACAGCUUCCUUUGGCACAGAGUGGCCAAAUUUGGAAGGUGGCUUGGCUCAGGAUCUCCAACAUCCAUCAGAUCUGCUGCCUUCGCUGACCUCCAUACAGCCGGUUCCAUUCUGCCCUCACACAGCUCUUUAGAGAUCUGUUCACGCAGGUUUCCAGACAUGAACCGCUUGGAGUGGCCAGUGUGCAGGGAGAGAUCUGUAUUUCUCAUGAAACACUGAAGCACCAUUGGACUAUUAAUUGCUGGCUGUCUGUCACAUGACAUUUCUAACUGGCCAUGACACUCCUUACAGUCGCCUCUGAUGUCCAGAUAAUUAUUGUUGACAGUUGGAUGGACCUUUGCUCUUCGGAACACAAGUGUACAUGUAUUUUUGAUCUUCUUCCAUAUAAGAUCGUUGAUGAUAUGAGUCCAAGUGCCAGGUUUCAAAAUUGUGUAUUCCCUUUUUUGGGCAGGAGAAAACUUGUCAUUGUAUUCAACUGUUUCAGGAAUAAAUUUAACCCAGUCCUCAAAAGGGACUUCUAGUUCAAAAGCUUGACAGUUUUCUUGUCCAGGAGAAAUGCAAUGUGAAUCUAACUCUCCUUCACUAUUACUUUCCUGAUCACUGAUUUCCAAAGCUGACCAGAUGUUGUGUCUAUUUAGCUUCACAAAAGUGUACAGGGCCUUUGCUGACAUCUUGUCUUCUAGCUGCUGACUCAGCUCUUUCCAGACUGAUGCAGCUGGAGUGGCUAUUUUGCCAUUUUGGACUAUGGCCUCUUUUGAAUUGCAAAGAAUUGCAAAAAUGGAAACCUUGUCUACAGAUGGCUUUCGAGGCAUCUAAAUAAAAAAAA